rnacentral:rRNA from 1 species
GUAGGUGGAGCAUGUGGUUUAAUUCGAAGAUACACGAAGAACCUACCUGGCCUUGACAUGGUAGGAACCUUAAGAGAUUAGGGGGUGCUAGCUUGCUAGAACCUACACACAGGUGCUGCACGGCUGUCGUCAGCUCGUGUCGUGAGAUGUUGGGUUAAGUCCCGCAACGAGCGCAACCCUCGUCCUUAGUUGCUAACAGUUCGGCUGAGCACUCUAGGGAGACUGCCUUCGCAAGGAGGAGGAAGGUGAGGACGACGUCAAGUCAUCAUGGCCCUUACGGCCAGGGCUACACACGUGCUACAAUGGGGCGUACAGAGAGCUGCGAUACCGCGAGGUGGAGCCAAUCUCUUAAAGCGUCUCUCAGUUCGGAUUGUUCUCUGCAACUCGAGAACAUGAAGCUGGAAUCACUAGUAAUCGCAGAUCAGCUAUGCUGCGGUGAAUACGUUCCCGGGUCUU